CCGCAACUUAAUUGCUCCUAGGUGGCCGCCAUUCGGCAUUCGAACACGUGGCGAGAACAAAGGAUGGAGACCAUCUUAAAACUCACGAAUGCGGUCAACGGGGCUUACGCGUGAAUUGCCUGGAACUAUUUUCGGCACGGCAAUCAUGCGAAUGCCCGGUCCUCAUGGAAGUCCUGGAUGAAUACGUUCCCCUCCACAAAUCAAACUGGCAUUCGGUAGAUAGAACCUACCGAACGAGGGGGACAUUCGCAUGUAACCAGCUGCACCAUACGAACGGUGGUUUUCGUGUAGUUAGACGCGAACGGAGACCGGCUCUUGCUACUAAUUUCAUGGAACUCUAAAUCGGAUACCUCCACAUGGCGAGCCUAUCAAACUUCUACACGAUGCGACACGGAAACUACUGAACAGAAAUUCGUGAGAUUUGGAUAUGUGACUACCAGUAUCCUCAGCUACCCAGGGAUGAUAAAAUUAUAGUUGUAUGUAUUAUAAAAAGUACUUUUCUGAAAUUGUUAAAAAUUAUAAUGUUUCUGGCCAGCAGAUAAUUGAG